GGGUGCACCUCCUUGGCUGCUGUUGCUGCCAACUGCUAUUUUCCAAAAUGGCCAUACUCUCCUUGCUAUUAUUACUGACAUCAAUAACCUGUUCUUGCUCCUCAUCAACAUCCGCUUCCUCUCCUCCUGUUUCUUCUUCUUCCACUUCACUAUCUCUUGUCUUGUUAUUGCUUGUGCAGCUGGUGCUUUCUUUUUUAGGCAUAAUGAGU
rnacentral:misc_RNA from 1 species